rnacentral:rRNA from 1 species
AGAGUUUGAUCAUGGCUCAGGACGAACGCUGGCGGCGUGCUUUAACACAUGCAAGUCGAGCGGAAAGGCUCCUUCGGGGGUACUCGAGCGGCGAACGGGUGAGUAACACGUGAGUAAUCUGCCCUUGGCUUUGGGAUACUACCGGAAACGGUGGCUAAUACCCGGAUACGACCACUCCUUGCAGGAGGUGGUGGUGGAAAGUUUUUUCGGCCAGGGAUGUGCUCGCGGCCUAUCAGCUUGUUGGUGGGGUAAAUGGCCUACCAAGGCUUCGACGGUAGCCGGCCUGAGAGGGUGACCGGCCACACUGGGACUGAGACACGGCCCAGACUCCUACGGGAGGCAGCAGUGGGGAAUAUUGGACAAUGGGCGGAAGCCUGAUCCAGCAACGCCGCGUGAGGGAUGAACGGGCCUUCGGGUUGUAAACCUCUUUCAGUACCGACGAAGCGCCGAUGAUGGUGGUGACGGUAGGUACAGAAGAAGCACCGGCCAACUACGUG